AAGGAAUAUUGGGCAAUGGACGCAAGUCUGACCCAGCCAUGCCGCGUGGAGGAUGAAGGUCCUCUGGAUUGUAAACUUCUUUUAUCAGAGAAGAAACCCGGGAAUUCUUUCCCGGUUGACGGUACCUGAUGAAUAAGCACCGGCUAACUACGUGCCAGCAGCCGCGGUAAUACGUAGGCAGCAAGCGUUGUUCGGAGUUACUGGGCGUAAAGAGUGCGUAGGCGGUUUUCUAAGUUCGGUGUGAAAUCUCCCGGCUUAACUGGGAGGGGGGGCCGAAGACUGGGAAGCUGGAGUGUGGGAAAGGCAGGCGGAAUUCCUGGUGUAGCGGUGAAAUGCGUAGAUAUCAGGAGGAACACCGGCGGUGUAGACGGCUUGCUAGACCAUAACUGACGCUGAGGCACGAAAGCGUGGGUAGCAAACA
rnacentral:rRNA from 1 species